rnacentral:rRNA from 1 species
GACGAACGCUGGCGGCGUGCUUAACACAUGCAAGUCGAACGGAAAGGCCCUGCUUUUGUGGGGUGCUCGAGUGGCGAACGGGUGAGUAACACGUGAGUAACCUGUCCUUGACUUUGGGAUAACUUCAGGAAACUGGGGCUAAUACCGGAUAGGAGCUCCUGCUGCAUGGUGGGGGUUGGAAAGUUUCGGCGGUUGGGGAUGGACUCGCGGCUUAUCAGCUUGUUGGUGGGGUAGUGGCGUACGAAGGCUUUGACGGGUAGCCGGCCUGAGAGGGUGAACGGCCACAUUGGGACUGAGAUACGGACCAGACUCCUACGGGAGGCAGCAGUGGGGAAUAUUGCACAAUGGGCGGAAGCCUGAUGCAGCAACGCCGCGUGCGGGAUGACGGCCUUCGGGUUGUAAACCGCUUUCGCCUGUGACGAAGAGUGAGUGACGGUAAUGGGUAAAGAAGCACCGGCUAACUACGUG